rnacentral:rRNA from 1 species
GACGAACGCUGGCGGCGUGCUUAACACAUGCAAGUCGAACGGAAAGGCCCUGCUUUUGUGGGGUGCUCGAGUGGCGAACGGGUGAGUAACACGUGAGUAACCUGCCCCUGACUUUGGGAUAACUUCAGGAAACUGGGGCUAAUACCGGAUAGGAGCUCCUGCUGCAUGGUGGGGGUUGGUAAGUUUCGGCGGUUGGGGAUGGACUCGCGGCUUAUCCGCUUGUUGGUGGGGUAGUGGCUUACCAAGGUUUUGACGGGUAGCCGGCCUGAGAGGGUGACCGGCCACAUUGGGACUGAGAUACGGCCCAGACUCCUACGGGAGGCAGCAGUGGGGAAUAUUGCACAGUGGGCGGAAGCCUGAUGCAGCAACGCCGCGUGCGGGAUGACGGCCUUCGGGUUGUAAACCGCUUUCGCCUGUGACGAAGCGUGAGUGACGGUAAUGGGUAAAGAAGCACCGGCUAACUACGUG